AUAUUCCGACAGGGGAGCGCCACAGCGCUGAGAGUGCGGGAGAGUCCGCAGACCCUCUGAACCUUGCCCAGGUCAUUCUGGGUAGGAAGUUCGGUCAUCACUCAAG
rnacentral:ncRNA from 1 species